rnacentral:lncRNA from 1 species
GAAGUCAACCUUAGUAAAGAAUGUUGAAAUCCUCCUCGCAUAAUCUCUAUAUGGGAUGAGGCCAGGCUGAUUCGUUUCCCAUUCACCCUUAAUCUGAUUAACAACGAGGGCCGAAUCACCAUAAACAUCAAGAUGUUUGAAUGAGGCCAGGCUGAUUCGUUUCCCAUUCACCCUUAAUCUGAUUAACAACGAGGGCCGAAUCACCAUAAACAUCAAGAUGUUUGAUCCUAAGAUCAAUACAUUCUUCCAAUCCCAUAAUACAGGCCUUAUACUCA